rnacentral:tRNA from 1 species
GGUUUUAUAGUCAAUAAUGAUAUUAGAAUGCAAUUCUAAAGGAAUAAUUUAAAUUAAUUAUUAAGACUU